AUACGGAGGGUGCGAGCGUUAUCCGGAUUUAUUAGGUUUAAAGGGUGUGUAGGCGGGAGCCUAAGUCAGUGGUGAAAUCUCACAGCUUAACUGUGAAACUGCCAUUGAAACUGGGUUUCUUGAGUAUAGUUGAGGUAGGCGGAAUGUGUAAUGUAGCGGUGAAAUGCAUAGAUAUUACACAGAACACCGAUUGCGAAGGCAGCUUACUAAGCUAUUACUGACGCUGAUGCACGAAAGCGUGGGUAGCGAACAGGAUUAGAAACCCGAGUAGUCC
rnacentral:rRNA from 1 species